UGGGACAUCAUUUUUGCCGGUAUCCUUUUUGGGAUAGAGGGAAUUCAAAACGGUUCGGUUUUUCGGGCCGUCAAACGAAGCUGCCCCCGCAACUGUAUGCGGCGAGCAUGUCCUGAUCAUGCCACUGGGGUUUUCCCGGGAAGGCCAGGAACAUGUGUUGACCCGCGAGCCAGGAGACCUGCCGGCAAUCGUGACGACAG
rnacentral:ncRNA from 2 species